rnacentral:rRNA from 1 species
UACGGAGGGGACUAGCGUUGUUCGGAAUUACUGGGCGUAAAGCGCACGUAGGCGGAUUGUUAAGUCAGGGGUGAAAUCCCGAGGCUCAACCUCGGAACUGCCUUUGAUACUGGCGAUCUCGAGUCCGGGAGAGGUGAGUGGAACUGCGAGUGUAGAGGUGAAAUUCGUAGAUAUUCGCAAGAACACCAGUGGCGAAGGCGGCUCACUGGCCCGGUACUGACGCUGAGGUGCGAAAGCGUGGGGAGCAAACAGG